rnacentral:rRNA from 1 species
GACGAACGCUGGCGGCGUGCUUAACACAUGCAAGUCGAACGGUAACAGGCCCUUCGGGGUGCUGACGAGUGGCGGACGGGUGAGUAACGCUUAGGAAUCUACCUAGUAGUGGGGGAUAACCCGGGGAAACUCGGGCUAAUACCGCGUACGCCCUACGGGGGAAGCGGGGACUUUCGGCCUCGCGCUAUUAGAUGAGCCUAAGUCCGAUUAGCUAGUUGGUAGGGUAAUGGCCUACCAAGGCGACGAUCGGUAGCUGGCUGAGAGGACGACCAGCCACACCUGGGACUGAGACACGGCCCAGACUCCUACGGGAGGCAGCAGUGGGGAAUAUUGGACGAAUGGGCGCAAGCCUGAUCCAGCGAUGCCGCGUGUGUGAAGAAGGCC